rnacentral:rRNA from 1 species
UACGUAGGUGACCAGCGUUGUCCGGAUUUACUGGGCGUAAAGAGCGCGCAGGCGGUCGUUCAAGUCGAGUGUGAAAGCCCCCGGCUCAACUGGGGAGGGUCAUUCGAUACUGAUCGACUUGAAGGCAGGAGAGGGAAGCGGAAUUCCCGGUGUAGUGGUGAAAUGCGUAGAUAUCGGGAGGAACACCAGUGGCGAGGCGGCUUCCUGGCCUGUUCUUGACGCUGAGGCGCGAAAGCUAGGGGAGCAAACGGG